UACGAAGGGAGCGAGCGUUGUUCGGAUUUAUUGGGCGUAAAGCAUUCGUAGGUGGUUUGUUAAGUUAGUGGUGAAAUCUCCGGGCUCAACCCGGAAACUGCCAUUAAAACUGGCUUACUAGAGCGCGAAAGAGAAGGGCGGAAUUUCAAGUGUAGUAGUGAAAUACUUAGAUAUUUGAAGGAACACCAGUUGCGAAAGCGGCUCUUUGGUUCGUUGCUGACACUGAGGGAUGACAGCGUGGGGAGCAAACAGG
rnacentral:rRNA from 1 species